GAUGAAGAACGUAGCGAAAUGCGAUAAGUAAUGUGAAUUGCAGAAUUCAGUGAAUCAUCGAAUCUUUGAACGCACAUUGCGCCCGCCAGUAUUCUGGCGGGCAUGCCUGUUCGAGCGUCAUUACAACCCUCAGGCCUCCGGGCCUGGCGUUGGGGAUCGGCGGAGCCCCCCGUGGGCACACGCCGUCCCCCAAAUACAGUGGCGGUCCCGCCGCAGCUUCCGCUGCGUAGUAGCUAACACCUCGCAACUGGAGAGCGGCGCGGCCACGCCGUAAAACACCCAACUUCUGAAUGUUGACCUCGAAUCAGGUAGGAAUACCCGCUGAACUUAAGCAUAUCAAUAAGCGGAGGA
rnacentral:misc_RNA from 1 species